rnacentral:rRNA from 1 species
GACAGAGGGUGCAAACGUUGUUCGGAAUUACUGGGCGUAAAGCGCGUGUAGGCUGCCUUGCAAGUCGGGUGUGAAAGCCCUGGGCUCAACCUAGGAAGUGCACUCGAAACUGCGGGGCUGGAGUCCUGGAGAGGAAGGCGGAAUUCUCGGUGUAGAGGUGAAAUUCGUAGAUAUCGAGAGGAACACCGGUGGCGAAGGCGGCCUUCUGGACAGUGACUGACGCUGAGACGCGAAAGCGUGGGGAGCAAACAGG